UAGGUUUAUUGUUAUUGCUGACCAUAAUUGCAGUUUCUGGAGGGUUUGUGUUCUGGCACAUCAAGAACCGUAAACCAGCAACACCAAGUGUUGAAACUGAAGAAAUACAUUAUGCUACAACAACAUUCUGUGCGCGUCAUUUACAGAAUACGAAAUGCAAGGAAGAUGAUGAAAUAGUGUACUCAAGUGUUAUGAUCUAAGGAACAAAAUUACUUUUAAUAUUUUGCCUACAAUACUUCAGUCUUGUUGCAGUAUAGAUUAGUGUUUCUCAACUGGUGGCUUAUGACCCAAAUAUUGUUCAGAGGGAAGCAAUGCUGCAUACAAAUAUAAAAAUACUUCUAACCUUACUGUAAUCAUAGA